GACGAACGCUGGCGGCGUGCCUAAUACAUGCAAGUAGAACGCUGAAGAGAGGAGCUUGCUCUUCUUGGAUGAGUUGCGAACGGGUGAGUAACGCGUAGGUAACCUGCCUUGUAGCGGGGGAUAACUAUUGGAAACGAUAGCUAAUACCGCAUAACAAUGGAUGACACAUGUCAUUUAUUUGAAGGGGGCAAUUGCUCCACUACAAGAUGGACCUGCGUUGUAUUAGCUAGUAGGUGAGGUAAUGGCUCACCUAGGCGACGAUACAUAGCCGACCUGAGAGGGUGAUCGGCCACACUGGGACUGAGACACGGCCCAGACUCCUACGGGAGGCAGCAGUAGGGAAUCUUCGGCAAUGGGGGCAACCCUGACCGAGCAACGCCGCGUGAGUGAAGAAGGUGUUCGGAUCGUAAAGCUCUGUUGUAAGUCAAGAACGGGUGUGAGAGUGGAAAGUUCACACUGUGACGGUAGCUUACCAGAAAGGGACGGCUAACUACGU
rnacentral:rRNA from 1 species